AACUUUUAAUAAUAGAUCUCUUAGUUUUAGUAUUAAUAAAGAAUAUAGCGAAAUAUAAUAAGUAAUAUAAAUUAUAGAAUUUAGUGAAUUAUUAAAUCUUUAAAUGUAUAUUACGCCUGCUAGUAUUCUAGCAGGCAUGCCUGUUUAAGCGUUA
rfam:Glomerella graminicola M1.001 genomic scaffold supercont1.112, whole genome shotgun sequence.